AUGGUUUAGUGUGAGGUUUUAUCCUCAAUCAGCCAACUUGCACGUUUCUCUUAUUAUCCGAUAACCGGAUAAAUCAACUGAAAUGAAGAAAAAUUACUGAGAAAACUAAUUAAAGACGAGUUAUCUAAAGGGGAAGAGAAAACAUAACAAAGCUGUGUAAGAGAAUCGACCUUAAUAUAUCCUCCUGUGUCUUCCACGUGACUUUGG